GGGGUUGUGGCUCAGUGGUAGAGUGCUUGCCUAGCAUGUACGAGGCCUGGGUUUGAUCCUCAGCUCCA
rnacentral:tRNA from 1 species